UACGGGGGGGGCAAGCGUUGUUCGGAAUUACUGGGCGUAAAGGGCUCGUAGGCGGCCAACUAAGUCAGACGUGAAAUCCCUCGGCUUAACCGGGGAACUGCGUCUGAUACUGGAUGGCUUGAGAUUGGGAGAGGGAUGCGGAAUUCCAGGUGUAGCGGUGAAAUUCGUAGAUAUCGGGAGGAACACCAGCGGCGAAGGCGGCCUUCUGGACGGUGACUGACGCUGAGACGCGAAAGCGUGGGGAGCAAACAGG
rnacentral:rRNA from 1 species